rnacentral:rRNA from 1 species
AUACGUAGGUGGCAAGCGUUAUCCGGAUUUACUGGGUGUAAAGGGCGCGUAGGCGGGGAUGCAAGUCAGAUGUGAAAUCUAUGGGCUUAACCCAUAAACUGCAUUUGAAACUGUAUCUCUUGAGUGUCGGAGAGGGAGAUGGAAUUCCUUGUGUAGCGGUGAAAUGCGUAGAUAUAAGGAAGAACACCAGUGGCGAAGGCGAUCUACUGGACGAUAACUGACGCUGAGGCGCGAAAGCGUGGGGAGCAAACAGGAUUAGAUACCCUGGUAGUCCACGCUGUAAACGAUGAAUACUAGGUGUGGGGGGACUGACCCCUUCCGUGCCGCAGUUAACACAAUAAGUAUUCCACCUGGGGAGUACGGUCGCAAGGCUGAAACUUAAAUGAAUUGGCGGGG